rnacentral:tRNA from 1 species
GGCACGGUAGCCAAGCGGUAAGGCCGGAGCCUGCAAAGCUUCUAUACGUCGGUUCGAUUCCGACCCGUGCCUCCA